rnacentral:rRNA from 1 species
CCUACGGGAGGCAGCAGUGAGGAAUAUUGGUCAAUGGACGAGAGUCUGAACCAGCCAAGUAGCGUGAAGGAUGACUGCCCUAUGGGUUGUAAACUUCUUUUAUAUGGGAAUAAAAUGUUCCACGUGUGGGAUUUUGUAUGUACCAUAUGAAUAAGGAUCGGCUAACUCCGUGCCAGCAGCCGCGGUAAUACGGAGGAUCCGAGCGUUAUCCGGAUUUAUUGGGUUUAAAGGGAGCGUAGGUGGAUUGUUAAGUCAGUUGUGAAAGUUUGCGGCUCAACCGUAAAAUUGCAGUUGAAACUGGCAGUCUUGAGUACAGUAGAGGUGGGCGGAAUUCGUGGCGUAGCGGUGAAAUGCUUAGAUAUCACGAAGAACUCCGAUUGCGAAGACAGUUCACUGGACUGCAACUGACACUGAGGCUCGAAAGUGUGGGUAUCAAACAGGAUUAGAUACCCGGGUAGUC